rfam:Gaeumannomyces graminis var. tritici R3-111a-1 unplaced genomic scaffold supercont2.3, whole genome shotgun sequence.
GCCCGGGUGGCUCAAUGGUAGAGCGUUGGACUUCUAAGACUCGUUUGGGCCAGCCAUGGUUCGUGAUGCGGAAGGCUAUCCAAAGGCUGCGGGUUCGAGUCCCGCCUUGGGUG